GAAGAGAAGCCCUGGGUAGUAGGCUACCACUGUGCCAGGCACCUGUUCUAAGACAGUUACUGCGACUGCUCGCACCGCCUAGCAUAGGUGGACACUUUUGUCUCAGCGUGCGCGAGCUUAUAUGAAAGUGCAUUAUAUGGUAUAUAAAUGUAAACGUGGAGCAGUGUUCAAUGUCGCUGACGCAGCUACGGAACUGGGAGGGAUUUCAUCAGUUUCGGCAGCAAGAUAAAAGACAGCAGCAAUACACACAUGCAAUAUAGUUAACUACACACUGUGUCUGUAGCGUAUUUGAUUAACAGUACCAUUGCUGCAUCGUGGAACAAAACAACUAGCCGCUCAGGAGUUAAAAAAGAAGAAACAAAUAACACGAUGUCAAAUUAUUGCAGCAACCCAGAGGAGGCUAUCCAUGGAAAAGCAAGGGAUGUUGUUAAGCUGAGAAGGGAAGACAUAGAAGAUUCUCAGCCUGAAACAAAAAGAGUGAGACUGGGGAACAGCGAAGGAGGAAUCAAUAUGAACGAAAAGGAGAUGGAAUGUGGGAAAAUGAAUGGGGGUCAGCGGCUUCAAAUACAAGGAGACACCAGGACACAGCCCGGUGAAGACGCGCCAACUGUGCUGUUAAAUGUGCCCAGUAGCAAGCAUCAGAUUUUAAUUGGAGCUUCCUCUGGGCCCAGCACGAAGCUUGAAGACUCCAUUGAUGAUCCUAAAGCCGGCUGCAGCAGCUGCAUAGAUAAAGAGGACAGCACAAUUCCAAGACAGCAAAUGAGCUGUGAGAGAGAGCAACUAAGGGGUAAUCAGGAAGCCACAGCACCUCCUGAAACGAUGGCACAGCCUUACGCUUCUGCCCAGUUUGCUCCUCCUCAGAACGGCAUCCCGGCCGAAUACACGACCCCCCACCCCCACCCCGCUCCAGACUAUACGGGCCAGAGCACUGUCCCAGAGCACACAUUAAACAUGUACCCCCCUGCACAGACGCACAGCGAACAGAGCGGCCCAGACAGCAGCGCGCAAACGGUGUCCGGUACCGCCACACAGACAGAUGAUGCAGCACAGACGGACGGCCAGCAACAGACACAGUCCUCUGAAAACACAGAAAACAAAACACAGCCCAAACGACUGCACGUCUCCAAUAUUCCUUUCAGGUUUCGAGAUCCAGACCUCAGGCAAAUGUUUGGUCAAUUUGGUAAAAUCUUAGAUGUAGAAAUCAUAUUUAAUGAACGGGGAUCUAAGGGAUUUGGUUUCGUAACUUUCGAAAAUAGUGCUGAUGCGGACAGGGCGAGGGAGAAAUUACACGGCACGGUGGUAGAAGGCCGUAAAAUAGAGGUUAAUAAUGCAACAGCACGAGUAAUGACAAAUAAAAAGACAGUCAACCCUUAUGCAAAUGGCUGGAAGCUGAAUCCAGUUGUUGGAGCAGUCUACAGCCCAGAAUUCUAUGCAGUGCCAGGCUUCCCAUACCCAGCUGCAACUGCAGCAGCAGCAUAUAGAGGGGCACAUUUAAGAGGCAGAGGGCGCACAGUCUACAACACAUUUCGGGCAGCAGCUCCCCCUCCGCCGAUCCCUGCCUAUGGAGGCGUGGUGUACCAGGAUGGAUUUUAUGGUGCAGAUAUUUAUGGCGGUUAUGCUGCCUACAGAUAUGCUCAACCUGCCACUGCCACUGCUGCUGCCUACAGUGACAGAAAUCAAUUCGUCUUCGUUGCAGCAGAUGAAAUUUCUUGUAACACCUCUUCAGUUACGGAAGAGUUUAUGCUGCCGACCCCUACCACCACACACUUGCUCCAGCAGCCACAUACAGCGUUGGUGCCGUGAAUAGUUAAAGCCUGUUUCCCUGGCAUGCGAUGUCUUGGUGUGCUUGCUGCAUGAAGGAUCAUGGGUCGUAUCACUGGGGGCUAGUAUAUACCGAGGGGGAUACAGCCGUUUUGCUCCAUACUAAAUGACAAAAACCAUAUAAAAACCUUCCAGUGGGGACAAAAAGAGAAGCUUUCCGAGGCCUGGGUAUUGCAAUACAUGCAGUAGUGCAUCAUUUUAGCAUCUCUAAACAGAGAGGGAAAGGACAUUUUUUUAUCUUAUACCUCAGAUAUUUUGUUCUGUGUAUUUUAAUAUUGUGGGUAAUUAAUUUCUAAAGGAUACAUAGAUUGUUGGCUGUAGAGGUUUCUGUGGUGAUCUAGAAAGCUGCUAGAUAAACAAGAAAAAAAAAAGAAAUUAAAAUUAUUAGGGCCACAAUCAAGAGUGCUUUAUCAUGUAAAUUAGUUAUAUAUGAUAAAUAUUAAACAGUUUGGGGUUAUCAUGUUUUGUAAAAGUGUAAGUGACUAUAGUAGUCAUUUUGUUUUUCUGCAUUUUUACAUUACCUUUGUAUUCAGUUUGAAAUUUUUGGUUUGUUAUUGAACAGAAAAAAAGGAAGGGGUACAGGGCUGGGGUGGGUGUAGAUGGUCGGGUGGGGUAAAGGGCAGAGGUAGGCUAUUGUGAAGUGGAUGAUUGUUGAUCCAGAGGAAAAAAUAAAAAAUAAAUCAUUACAGUUUAAAAGAGGGCACCACUUUACUGAUUAUACUAGCUGUCUUAUGUCAUUCAACACUCAAAGCCAAAGGUUAUGUUCCUAGGGUGUUACAAACACUUGUACAUACAGAUUUUACGUAUAAGUCUAGUAACACCCAAAAAGAUAUUCACCAAGGCAGUAUUUAACUGUUUAACCAUUAUCUAGCAAAUAUGUACUAGUUUAGGCCAUUUAAAAAGUGUUCUUUUUAUAUUACUUCCAGUAUAUAAAUUAUUGAUACCAUUGCUGACUUUUGUAUUAUGGAGAGAAAAAAAUGACAUUAAUAAAUAAGGCGCUAAAAGCACUGUUUCUAUUUUUCUUUUUGUUUUUCAGAAGGAAAGUAAUAAAACUAGAACUGUUUGUACCAGUUAAAAUGAAAAAAAUCUACAACCAUGUAUAAAAUUUGAACUGUGCAGUGGAAACGUUCUGUUAUAGAAAAUGCGCAAAAUAUGAUGUUUUAGAAUUAGUCAAGUAGACCAACUGUUAGAGAAAGGUGUAUCAUUUUUAUGGAUUACAUGAUAAUCAUAUUCAGAUUUAUAUAAACAUUUUACAGGUAUUGCAAUCAUUAUGUAGAGAUAAUCAUGGUAUUUUUGUCAGCUUGGUACUUUUUAGACCUUUCUGUGCUGCACACACAACCUGCAAUUUUUCUUCACUUCUCAGCUUGUGAGACAUCACUCAUUACACAUUUUUGCAUUUUGUUAUAUUUUUAACACCAUAUCCUUUGUAUUCUUUGUUUUUUUUAAGGACAAGAUCUUUACAUUUUUAAACAGUUUCGGAAAAAAUAUACUAUACAGAAUCUAUAACUUGUGAAAAGAUAUUGAUCUAUCUAUAUAUAUAUAUUUAUAUCUAUAUAUAGUAAUAGUAAAUAAUAAUAAAAACAUUAAUUCAGUCUCUGAAAGUGCUACACAAGCAAGCUGUAAAGAAGGCUAAUUUUAGCAUCUGAAGAAUUGCAGCUUGUCUGUGCAUAUGCUAAGACUCUGUUCAUGUUGUCCUGUUUACAAGUAAACCUAAGUUAAGGUGUUUGUCACAGGUCUCCUUUUUGUAUUUAUAAUAAAAAUGUUCAAAAAAGAAUACAAAAAACACAGCUGCUUCAAGCUGUCUUGCUGCAGAUCUUAGUUAUAUCCUCAUGUGUACUGUGUGCGUAACAUCGCACAACUCAGUAAAAUAUCUUACCCACCGCUGUGAUUCUACUAUAAAAUUCUGCUUUAAAAAGUGUUGUGACCAGGCGUUCUCCUUGUCAUCGUAUGUGCAUGCAGUAUGAUCCGCUGAACAAUAACCAUCAAUAAAGUUUCACAAGAUAA